rnacentral:rRNA from 1 species
GCCCUUAGAGUUUGAUCCUGGCUCAGGAUGAACGCUAGCGGCAGGCUUAACACAUGCAAGUCGAGGGGUAACGGGGAAGCUUGCUUCCGCCGACGACCGGCGCACGGGUGCGUAACGCGUAUACAAUCUACCUUGUACUGGGGUAUAGCCUUUAGAAAUGAAGAUUAAUCCCCCAUAGUCUCUUAGAGUGGCAUCACUUCUAGAGUAAAGGUUACGGUAUAAGAUGAGUAUGCGUUCCAUUAGUUUGUUGGUGUGGUAACGGCACACCAAGACUACGAUAGAUAGGGGCCCUGAGAGGGGGAUCCCCCACACUGGUACUGAGACACGGACCAGACUCCUACGGGAGGCAGCAGUGAGGAAUAUUGGACAAUGGAGGCAACUCUGAUCCAGCCAUGCCGCGUGCAGGAAGACUGCCCUAUGGGUUGUAAACUGCUUUUAUACAGGAAGAAACACCUCUACGUGUAGAGGCUUGACGGUACUGUAAGAAUAAGGAUCGGCUAACUCCGUGCCAGCAGCCGCGGUAAUACGGAGGAUCCAAGCGUUAUCCGGAAUCAUUGGGUUUAAAGGGUCCGUAGGUGGAUAAUUAAGUCAGAGGUGAAAUCUUGCAGCUCAACUGUAAAAUUGCCUUUGAAACUGGUUAUCUUGAGUUAUUAUGAAGUAGUUAGAAUAUGUAGUGUAGCGGUGAAAUGCAUAGAUAUUACAUAGAAUACCAAUUGCGAAGGCAGAUUACUAAUAAUCAACUGACACUGAUGGACGAAAGCGUGGGUAGCGAACAGGAUUAGAUACCCUGGUAGUCCACGCCGUAAACGAUGGUUACUAGCUGUUUGGACUUCGGUCUGAGUGGCUAAGCGAAAGUGAUAAGUAACCCACCUGGGGAGUACGUUCGCAAGAAUGAAACUCAAAGGAAUUGACGGGGGCCCGCACAAGCGGUGGAGCAUGUGGUUUAAUUCGAUGAUACGCGAGGAACCUUACCAGGGCUUAAAUGUAAGUUGCAUUAGCUAGAGAUAGCUAUUUCUUCGGACCACUUACAAGGUGCUGCAUGGUUGUCGUCAGCUCGUGCCGUGAGGUGUCAGGUUAAGUCCUAUAACGAGCGCAACCCCUGUUGUUAGUUGCCAGCGAGUCAUGUCGGGAACUCUAACAAGACUGCCAGUGCAAACUGUGAGGAAGGUGGGGAUGACGUCAAAUCAUCACGGCCCUUACGUCCUGGGCUACACACGUGCUACAAUGGUAGGUACAGAGAGCAGCCACUGCGCGAGCGGGAGCGAAUCUAUAAAACCUAUCACAGUUCGGAUCGGAGUCUGCAACUCGACUCCGUGAAGCUGGAAUCGCUAGUAAUCGGAUAUCAGCCAUGAUCCGGUGAAUACGUUCCCGGGCCUUGUACACACCGCCCGUCAAGCCAUGGAAGUUGGAAGUGCCUGAAGUCCGUCACCGCAAGGAGCGGCCUAGGGUAAAGUCGAUAACUAGGGCUAAGUCGUAACAAGGUAAAGGGC